rnacentral:piRNA from 1 species
UGAUAUACUUUGUUUUCUGCACUCCGCUC